CCAAUAGCGUAUAUUAAAGUUGUUGCAGUUAAAAAGCUCGUAGUUGAAUUUCGGGGUUAGUAGAUUGGUCAUGCCUUUGGUAUGUACUGGUCUUACUGAUUCCUCCUUCCUGAUGAACCGUAAUGCCAUUAAUUUGGUGUUGCGGGGAGACUGGACUGUUACUUUGAAAAAAUUAGAGUGUUUAAAGCAAGCUAACGCUUGAAUACAUUAGCAUGGAAUAAUGAAAUAGGACGUUCGAUCUUAUUUUGUUGGUUUCUAGGAUUGACGUAAUGAUUAAUAGGGAUAGUUGGGGGCAUUAGUAUUCAAUUGUCAGAGGUGAAAUUCUUGGAUUUAUUGAAGACUAAAUACUGCGAAAGCAUUUGCCAAGGAUGUUUUCAUUAAUCAAGAACGAAAGUUAGGGGAUCGAAGACGAUCAGAUACCGUCGUAGUCUUAACCAUAAACUAUGCCGACUAGGGAUCGGAUGAUGUUAAUUUUUUAAUGACUCACUCGGCGCCUUACG
rnacentral:rRNA from 1 species